AUGAAGCGUGCAUUCACACUGCACCUCAGGCAACUACAUGUAUUCCUCGUGCUGUUGGAGGGUGUUUGGUUCAAUGCAGUCCUGCCACUAGCCAUCUGCAAGGAAGCUGAAAAUGAUAGACAUGCCCUCCUUUGCUUCAAGUCCAGACUCUCAGGCCCAGCAGGACUGUCAAACAACAACUUCAGUGGUGGCAUACCAUCGGAGAUUGGCCUCCUGCGCCGUCUCCGUGAUCUCGACCUCAGCAGGAACAAUUUAGAAGGGGUCAUCCCGGAGUCCCUGGCAUAUAGUUCAUCCCUCCGAAUACUUUGGCUCAAUAGCAAUAGUCUUGGUGGAAAACUGCCAAAGGCUCUCUUCAACACAUCAUCUCUUGUUGACAUUUCCCUCCAACAGAACAACCUUGUUGGUUCCAUACCUGUUGUUACUACCACUUCUCCCCCUAUUGAAUACCUCGAUUUAAGCGAUAAUCAUAUUUCAGGAAAACUACCUUCCUCACUAGGGAACCUUUCCACCCUUGUGGAUCUUCGUCUUACAGGGAACAAUUUAGUCGGGAGCAUACCAGAGAGCUUAGGUUAUAUCUCACCUCUGCAGAUACUGACAUUGACCGCCAACAACUUGUCUGGGACAGUUCCACCAUCUCUCUUCAAUAUGUCAUCUCUGACAUUUCUUAGCCUAGGAAACAACUCGCUUGUUGGAAGGUUACCCCCCAAUAUUAGCUACACACUCCCAAAUAUUCAGACAUUAGUGCUCUCAACAAACAAGUUUGAUGGCCCAAUCCCAGCUUCUCUUCCCAAAGCUUACAACCUCCGUCGUCUUUACUUGUAUAACAACACACUAACUGGGUUCAUACCCUUCUUUGGGUCAUUGCCAAAUUUGGAGGAACUUGAUUUGUCAUACAACAGGCUAGAAACAGGAAAAUGGGGAUUUAUGUCUUCACUCGCAAAUUGUACCAGGUUGACUAAGUUGCUGUUGGUUGGGAACAAUCUUCAAGGCAAAAUGCCAAGUUCGAUAGGCAAUCUUUCUGAUAGUCUCGAGUGGCUUUGGCUAAGGGAAAACCAAAUUUCUGGGCCUAUACCACCGGAGAUUGGCAAUCUUAAGAGCCUCACUAGGGUUUACAUGGAUUACAAUCUUAUCACUGGAAAUAUACCACCAACUAUUGGUAAUUUGUACCGCUUGGUCCAUCUAUCCUUUGCACACAACAAACUGUCAGGGCAAAUCCCAGAUACUAUUGGUAAUCUGGUUAAGCUAAUUUCUUUGAAACUGGAUGAGAACAACAUUAGUGGAAGGAUACCUGCAAGUAUACGAAGUUGUACUCAACUCGAGGAACUAAACCUUCGUCAGAACUCACUAGAUGGGAGUAUACUUGUUGUUCUGAUGGAUGAAGAACCAAUACUUUCAACUCCAAUGUGUGCACCUUCCCGUUACGCCAUGCGCUCCCUACUCUCCGGCGAGUGUUCUCGUGUUCUUAAUUGA
rnacentral:rRNA from 1 species